AUACGGGGGGGGCUAGCGUUGUUCGGAAUUAUUGGGCGUAAAGGGCGCGCAGGCGGCUUGAUAAGUCAGUUGUGAAAUCCCUCGGCUCAACCGAGGAACUGCAAACGAUACUGUCAGGCUUGAGUCCCGGAGAGGGUAGCGGAAUUCCCAGUGUAGCGGUGAAAUGCGUAGAUAUUGGGAGGAACACCAGUGGCGAAGGCGGCUACCUGGACGGGUACUGACGCUGAGGUACGAAAGCGUGGGGAGCAAACAGGAUUAGAAACCCCAGUAGUCC
rnacentral:rRNA from 1 species